AAUGGGUGAUGCUGUCAUUUUCUUGGGCAUGUGGCCUGAGUGUGGUUGUUGAGGUGAUUAUGACAAGUCAGUAGUCAUUUUCUGUUAGUGCAGUAUUGUUUUCCUAAGUAAUGUGAUAUGUGAAAGAGGGAAUGAUAUCACCAUAUCCAUAGUUAACUUAGUAUAUACAUGUAAAUAUGAGGGAUUGGGUACCUAAAUUAGUUUAAAGCAUAGCUCAUGAUUUUCAUCUUAAUAGCUUUCUCAGACCUGCUGUCAAAGAAUAAAAUUAACUCAU
rnacentral:lncRNA from 1 species